rnacentral:rRNA from 1 species
AUUGAACGCUGGCGGCAGGCCUAACACAUGCAAGUCGAACGAGUGGCGGACGGGUGAGUAAUGUCUGGGAAACUGCCAGAUGGAGGGGGAUAACUACUGGAAACGGUAGCUACUACCGCAUACCAUCGGAUGUGCCCAGAGGGGAUUAGCUAGUCGGUGGGGUAACGGCUCACCUGGGCGACGAUCCCUAGCUGGUCUGAGAGGAUGACCAGCCACACUGGAACUGAGGCACGGUCCAGACUCCUACGGAGGGCAGCAGUGGGGAAUAUUGCACAAUGGGCGGAAGCCUGAUGCAGCCAUGCCGCGUGUAUGAAGAAGGCCUUCGGGUUGUAAAGUACUGUCAGCGAGGAGGCGUUACUCGCAGAAGAAGCACCGGCUAACGCCGUGCCAGCCGCCGCGGUAAUUC